ACGACAAUUUUUAAGCAUGUUUUUUUGUUUAUAUACUCUUUUUAGUUGAUUUAGUGUUCGUUGUUUAGUUAGUUAAUUUAGUAAUUCCUCUACUGGUUAAUAAGCCCAAGUGUUAUUUGACCUUUUCCUCAACUGAAUAGCUAUUAGGAAGGUGUAGUUUGAUAGCUGAAGUAGUAAAGAUCCAGCAGGAAUGGAAUAGGAGGUAACUGGUGUCUAACACGGCGGCGCUAUUUACCAGGUGCAAAGUAUACAUGAAGAAAUUCGCAAUAUCAUCUAGACCCAAUGAAAAUUACAUAAAUCAGACUCGCAUGAGCACCCCACCUGGGUCACCCCCCGCCCCGGUGCCUGGGGUCAACGUCUAUUUGGGAGGGUUUAUGCUUGGUGGAAUAAUUUUAGCCAUAUUCGUUUUGUGCUACUGUUGUCAUAAAACGAAUAGAAAAUCAAGUCCAAGUUUGUCGUCGAUGAUCUGGAGAGAGCCGGGACUAUCAUUGCAAAUUUAUACAGUAGAAGCUGCACAAAACGUAAGUUAAUAAAUACUUAAACAUAAAUAAAAUACUGUAGUAGUGAGUGACUAAUAUGUGUAUACAAUGUGAUCAAAAAGUUUGGUUAUCAAGCCAGCACCAUACCAAGUGAUUGUAUUAACAUUUCCCUUUCCUGACUAACGCAAUAUCAUAUAUAGUUAACUACUGAACAGUACAGUUGGGGUUGAAAUCUCUGGUGCUACAACAGCGAUAUAAAAAACCAAUUCACACCCUACAAUAUAUUCAAACAUUGUUACCAAAGUGCGCGUCAAGUCUAAAAAGUAAUGUAUUUUGUUGUAUUGUGGAAAAUCCCUGUUUCAUUUUCCUA